rfam:Lupinus angustifolius cultivar Tanjil contig_13547, whole genome shotgun sequence.
UUGCUAUGAUGAGAUAUCAGUUUAUUGAUUGUUUGAUGAUAUUUUGGCAGUCAUGUCGAACCUGAGCGGUUAACUGAGCAA